CAUGCGGUUUUCGGUGUGAUAAAAAAGUGUUAUCACUCCAUGAAUUUUGAGGAUUUGAUUAAUUUCAGCAUAAAAUUUCGAGUAAAAUUGUGCAAAUUUGUGGUUUAAAACGAGUAUUAGAUACCCUAAAGUAAUCCGAUUCUGUUGUCCAAAGAGCAAGGCUUUAUCAACUCGUAUAAAUCAUGAUGAGACUACAGCCUCCCGAUUCUGCCGAUGUCGCAGAAGAGAAGAAGAAAGUCCGUGAAAUCGUUAUUUCCAAUAUCACCACAUUUUUCGUAGCAAUUGGCAUUAUAAGAUUAGUCCCACAUGCGAUCAAAUUAUUCAGCGAGUAAAAAAUACAUUACAAUAAACAUCGUAUAUAAAUAAUGAAAUAAUUAGAACGUCUUCAUCCGUAUAUUAAUAAUUGGGGUUCGUUGCUUCGACUUUAUUGUAAUCGUACCACAGAUCAUUACCUACUCGGUCCUCGUAAUACUACCGAAGAUGCUGAUAUCGAAGAAACCAAGCAUCCUUCGCCCAAUACGAGUUUAUUGAAUACGUUACGAGAGAGAAUGCUGAGAUUAUCGGAAAAAGAAAAACGACGUUCGAGUGCUCAAUAAAGAAAAAAUUAGUCACUGUUCAGAUUUAUUAUUUAUGUUUUUUCUUUUGUACAUGGGUUUUUUUCUCGAAUGAUUAUGAUUUUUUUUUAAAUGUAUGCGAUUCAGACAAAUAUAAUACAUUUUUUAUUAAUUUGUGA